CCUACGGGAGGCAGCAGUGGGGAAUAUUGGACAAUGGGCGAAAGCCUGAUCCAGCAAUGCCGCGUGAGUGAUGAAGGCCUUAGGGUUGUAAAGCUCUUUUACCAGGGAUGAUAAUGACAGUACCUGGAGAAUAAGCUCCGGCUAACUCCGUGCCAGCAGCCGCGGUAAUACGGAGGGAGCUAGCGUUAUUCGGAAUUACUGGGCGUAAAGCGUACGUAGGCGGUUAUUCAAGUCAGAGGUGAAAGCCCGGGGCUCAACCCCGGAACUGCCUUUGAAACUAGAUAACUAGAGUCUUGGAGAGGUUAGUGGAAUUCCGAGUGUAGAGGUGAAAUUCGUAGAUAUUCGGAAGAACACCAGUGGCGAAGGCGACUAACUGGACAAGUACUGACGCUGAGGUACGAAAGCGUGGGGAGCAAACAGGAUUAGAUACCCUGGUAGUCCACGCCGUAAACGAUGAUAACUAGCUGUCCGGGCACUUGGUGCCUGGGUGGCGCAGCUACGACAUUAAGUUAUUCCGUCCGUCGGGUAGGUACGGUCGCGAGAAUAAACUAACAAAGAAGUAGACGGCGUGAGACGUAGCCGACGGACGACGACGAGGGAGGUAGG
rnacentral:rRNA from 1 species